rnacentral:lncRNA from 1 species
AAAUAAAAGGCAGUUUCUGCCUAAACCAAUAAACAAACUUAAUACAAGAGAUGCCAAUUAGGUUAAAGUUAUAAAGGUUCUAAAAGGUUAAAGUUAGAAAGGCUCAUCCAAUAUAAGUCAUUUAAAAACAGCAAAUAAGUAAAGAAUUACAAAACCAGGACAUAAAAGUUGGUAAAAAUUAGUGUCAAAAGAGUUAGAAUAAAAGUUGAUUAAGCAUGAUAUAAAGUUUCAAUAAUAAAAACUACCAAUAUUCAAUUUAAAUGGAACCAUAAAAAUGGAUAUUAGAAAUGUGAAAUUUUCUAUUACUAUAGGAUCUUUCAUGUUAUCGAGAACUGAAUCAAGCACAACUAAAAAUCAGUUUUUACUCUCAAAAAAAAAAAAAAAAAAAAGAAAAUGGCAGCUAAGUAUAGGACUCACACCUAUAAUCCCAGCACUUUGGGAGGCCAAGAUGGGAGGAUUACUUGAGCCUAGGAGUUCCCUGCUAGACUGGGAAACAUAGUGAGACCUCAUCUCUACAAAAAAUUUGGAAAUUAGCCAGUAAGUAUUCUGCAAAUAGAUUCCUUUAAAAUUAAAAAUAUAAAGAUAAAAAAGUCUGCUGGAUGUGGUGGUACACACCUGUAGUCUCAGCUACUUGGGAGGCUGAGGCAGGAGGCUGUCUUGAGCUCAGGGUAUUGAGGCUGCAGUGAGCCACAAUUGCACCAAUGCAUUACAGCCUGAGCAACGUAGCAAGACCCUGUCUCAAAAAAGAGAGAGAGAAAAAACGGUUAAUGUUGUGGACAGGUAGGCAAGGGCACAGGUGAUCCUCUGAGGGUACUGCCCUUUGAGACAUAGUGGCAGCCACACAGGUAGGCAAGGGCACAGGUGGUCCUCUGAGGGUACUGCCCUUUGGAACAUAGUGGCAGCCGCAGCUGCACACCCAUGCAAGGCUGUGGCACAGGCUGUGUGUGCAUUUCUAAUAACGACAAACAGAAAUAAACCCCAGUCUCUUGCCCUUUGAAUACAGCUCUUUUUGGUUAGAGGGAACUAUUUCCACUCUUUCUAUAAUUCCAUCUUCCUAAUAAUGCUUCUUAUGUUAAUCAAUUUGACUUAAAAUUACAGUGGCUUGUGAGCCUGGAGUGGGCACAGUUCUGCUCCAGGCUUUACCUGCUCUCCCUGGCAGUUACAUGUUGACACGGAAGGAUCUGCUAUGUUCUCAAGCAAACCAUUUCUUAUUUUGCAAUUAUAACUGCCCUACUCACUGCAUGUUGUCUUUGGUGGUUCUAUAAUUAAAGAGCAGAGAAUUUUUCUUCCCCUCGCUGCACAAGGUGAAAAAUGUUAGUUAUUUUCAGAGACCCAGCUGCUACAAGCAUUAAAAAUUACUUAAAACAUAAAUGUAUGGCAUUGUGAUCACAAUGGAUUGUGUUGUUGUAAAUGAAUUACCCUGUAAAUUGCUGUUUAAAAUUAAAAUAUAGCUUAUGAGGAAUGGCAGGAAAGUAAUACAGAAGGAAGUAUGGUUUCAUAUAAUUGUCUCCAAAAGCCUGUCCCUGACAGAAGUGAUGGCAAAGGAAGUGCCAGAAGCAGCUACCCCCGCCUGGCAAAGUUAAAGUCUGCUGGCCCCCGCGACAUGCUUCUUUCCUUGUAUCUCCCUGAAGACCUCCCCGCCUCCCACAGGUCCUGAGCCUGUAUUGAGGGUCUGCACUGUGCUUGCUCCAAGGUGGCUAGCAGGUGCAUAAAGAUGAGUGAGCACUGCCCUCCCUCAGACAGCGUGGGGCUCAUGGGGAGCCAGGCACCGUGCAGACAGGCAGGAGGAAGGGGCCGUGGUGAAGAUGUCUCGGGGUCUUAUUUGGGCAGCCGAGGUGGAAGCGGUAAUAUGCCAGUACACACGAAAGAGAUGAUUGGUUGAUUUAACUUGACUGAUUGAUCUAUGCCAGCAGAUUGUUGAAACUCACAGGAAUUUAGAAGCUUGGCGUUGGGAGGAGCCUCUGGGAGGUGAAAUGCCCCCGCCAGCUUUCUCAAGCACUCGCGGGAGACGGUAGUCUGUUCUCUACUUGGACGCUUCCAGAGGUGGAAAAUUUGCCACUUUGUGACACAUCCACUGCCCGUGGGGGCAAAUUCAAGCCUUCUCCCAACCCAACAACCCGAAGGUCAUGUAUUCGAUUUGGAUAUGUUAACUUGGAAAUCCCUGGUGACUCCCAAGAGAAGGCUCACAGCAAGUGGAGGAGGCAGGAGCUGACGGAAGCUACUGGCCAUGCUCAGAAUGGCCUUGGCACAUGGGGACCAGGGGAAUCACAGGAACAAGUUUGACUCUCAUGGAGGGCUUUUAUAAAAUGGGGGUUUGAUUUAAAAGGCAAUGCAGCAUGUUUGGAGGGUUGUGAGCAAUGGAGUAAACUAAUGCUGGAAGUAUUUAAGAAGAUUAAUUUAUCAAAAGGAGGAUGAACUGGAGAGAGAGAGACAGUGGCCUCCCAGGCACUCCCACGGAUCCUGACUCUCACGUUCAAUAGAGACCUGGAGGUAAUCUUUUCCACCAUUAGAUAAGCGAAGGGCUCCACACAAGAUUCCUACCAAGAGCCUGCACAGAUGCUCCAGCUGCAGUGGCCUCCCCCUGAUCUGAGCAUCACUUGCUGGCCACCUAGGCAUUCUCCAGCCCAAACACCCCAGCGUCUUGUCCUCCUUUGACAGCAUCUCCUGGUCCUUCUGUAUCCUGCCACAUCCUGCUCCUGCUGCUUCAUCACACAUCGGUCCAGAAGUUUAGAUGUAAUCAUAGAAAAAAAAUUCAUUAAUUUAUUUCCACAUUCCUCUGAUAUCUAUAUGGCAGCUCAUCAAUGUCAGGUGUUACAUGAGGCACCAAAGGUGCUGAGGAAAACAAGCAGUUCUUGCUCAAAAGAAGUCUCAGCUGAAUGGAGGGAGAUGGACAAAGUGAAAACAUCCAUGGGAAAAAGACCAUUAUCAGUCAUGGUCCAAGUCUGUACAGGGGUGCUGGGUCUGCAGUUGAAAGACCUGUCCAGGGUGAGAGGUAUUAUUCCCACAGCCUAAUAGCGAAAGGACCCUUCGAUGUAGUCAUGAACAAUGCGUAGGCUUGACCCAGAAGACAAGGACAUCAAAGUCUUUCCAGCAAGGCAGGCUGAGCUUCUGAACUGAGAGACUAGACAUGCAAGACAGAAGGAGUAAAGUGCCCAGAAGAAAGGAGGAACCACUCCUAAAUACAUGGUGGCAAUUCUUGCUCUGAACUUGAAAGAAAGAAAGGAGAGUAGAUGCAGAAAUGAAAAACAAUGUUGGUCUGUCUACCACAUUUGGGGGGAUUAAGGGAGUUCCCAUUUUUACCCUAAAUGUUCUCUGAAUUUUUUUUUUACCCUAAGGGAUAGAAGUAGUAAAGUAGAGAAUUCAGGAAGAACACAGGAUGAAAUAACUGUCUCUCAUUAUUUUUUAUCCACAUGUGAUGCAAGUGAGACGCAUUGUUGAGUUUAACAUGAUAAAGACUCUGGGAUAGAUUGUGCUAGGAAGAAAAAACAUAUUUCGAAUAGCACUGGUAAGUUGAAGAGUAUAGCAAUGGUGAUGUUUUUAGAGGGUGAGAAAACCACUUCAAAGAAGGUAAUUUUGGCCUUCGUCUCAUUGUUUACAUUUGUCUGAAUUGUUUUCUUCUUUAAUAUGAAACUGAAAACUUCUUGAAAGAUAGUUUUUAUGGGUAUAUGAAUAAAGGUUGACAUUACUUAGUGUCCGCACUGCAAAGAUGUAAUUCCAUUGGCUCCUGGUUUCCAUAUUGAGGAUGGAGAAGUCGGCUGUCAGUCUAAUUGCAGUAGUUCUUUAAUUUCUUUAACCAAAUGACUUUAUUCUGUUAAUCCAUUAUCAAUCUUUAAUGAGUUCUUUAUCUUUUCUCCAGAUACUUUUCAGAUCUUCUAUUUAUCCUUAAAUUUCACUAUAUUGCACUUAGGUGCAGACUCCUUUUUAUGUAUCUUGCUUGAAUUUGUGUUUCUGAAUCUAGGCAUCCAUGUUUUUUAUAAAUUUUAGAUAAUUCUCAGCUAUUAACUCUCUACAUAGUUACUUCGUUCUCUGAACUAGUUCCUUUGUGAAUUCCAAUAACAUAUUAGAACUUCUAACCCCAUCUGUAAUAUCUUUCAAACUCUAUAUGACAUUUUUGAAAUGUCUGACUUUAUGUUGUGUUCUGAGUAAUUUUUCAGCAUUAUCUUCUAGUCCACUUAUUCUCUCUUUAUCUGUGUCAUCUCUUCUAUUUAACUCAUUUAUCAAGUUGUGUUUUGUUUUUUGUUUUUUUAGAUGGAGUCUUGCUCUGUCACCCAGGCUGUAGUGCAGUGGCACAAUCUUGGCUCACUGCAACCUCUGCCUCCUAGGUUCAUGUAAUUCUCCUGCCUUGGCCUCCUGAGUAGCUGAGAUUAUAGGCACCUGCCACCAUGCCCAGCUAACUUUUGUAUUUUUAGUAGAGAUGGGGCUUCACCAUGUUUCUCAGGCUGGUCUCAAACUCCUGACCUCAAAUGAUCAGCCAACCUUGGCCUUCUAAAGUGCUGAGAUUACAGACAUGAGCCACCAUGCCCAGCCUAUCAAAGUUUUCUUUCUACUGUUAUAUUUUUACAUUUACGGAAGCAUUUGUAAUUAUUCUGUUUGCAACAUAUAUGGUUGUUUUCAGAUUUUU